CGACGGUGAGGCAAUUAAGGAUCACUGAUUCGCCUUUUCCUAUAAGAGAUGGUGAGAAUAACAGUCACGUAGAUGAGAAAGCUGAUGAAUUCAUUUCAAGAUUCUACAGAGAUUUGAGACUGGAAGCUUCUACUUUUGCUUAAUUUUUUUUUGUUUUCCAAAGAUGUUGAGAGUUCAUGCAUGUAAUCGUAUCCUGUGCAAUAAACAAGAAGGACGUUGGAUUUUACACAGUUUAUCACUGUUAAUUGGUGUUGUAAUGGAAAUUUUGUCGCUUCCAUUAUGUUUCUGGAAGCUUCUGCUUUUGCUUAAUGUUUGAAGCUUUUGAGAGUUCAUGAUGUAAUUGACUCCACUCCUGCGCAAUAAACAAGAAGAACGUUGUAUCUUACACACUUUCUCAGCGUUAAUAAUGGGUGGAGUAACGGAAAAUUUGUCACUUCCAUUCUGUCUCUUGGGUUUUUUUAUUUUAAAGUUUUCUUUUAGGGCUUUUGAGAAAUCAUCAGAAGAAAAUAUGAAAGAAUUCUCUCUUAAUUAGAUUGUCCAGUACUCGUUACCUUUUCUUCUCGAAAAUAAGAAAAGCAAAAAGUUUAAUUAGAAAUCAUUACUUACAGCUACAAGUUAAAAGCAAAGCAUAUUGAAAGAAGUUAGCAAGUUAAAAUUUAUUCCUUCCUUCAAGCCCAAGGGAAUAUGUAACCUUAAUAAGAGUAUUGGUCCGGAUUUGAUCGACCACGGCCUAUAGCAAGUAUGAUCAGCGACCUGAAACUCACGAGUCGGUACCGAGGUACAACUUAGAGGCGGAAUGAGUGACGCCAUCGUAUAAGCAUUAGAACUGGCACGGUAGAUAGUCCUUAAUUCGUCGUCCCCAUGGUUAAGGGAAAAUCUCUCAAUAUAUAAGACGGACUCAAGCCUUGUAAAGGGCAGGCUGGAAUAUACAGAAUUGUAACCUAUAUUUCUACUAUUGUCUCUCUAUUAUAACUCUUUCUCUCUCCC
rnacentral:lncRNA from 1 species